GAUGAAGAACGUAGCGAAAUGCGAUAAGUAGUGUGAAUUGCAGAAUUCAGUGAAUCAUCGAAUCUUUGAAUGCACAUUGCGCCUUCUAGUAUUCUGGGAGGCAUGCCUGUUUGAGCGUCAUUAAACCUCUCUCAAGUAUGAUUACUUGGAUGUGAAGGAAGAGUACCUUAAACUUAAGGAGUGUUCUCCUUUGAAAUUGAUUAGCAGAUGGUAAUGUUAUUAAAUCCCUGAUGUUGUAAGAAAUAACAGUGGUUUUGUAGACUAUUAUCUAGCUUUAAAUUAUAAUUUUUAUUAUGGUUGACCUCAAAUCAGGUAAGGAUACCCGCUGAACUUAAGCAUAUCAAUAAGCGGAGGA
rnacentral:misc_RNA from 1 species